rnacentral:rRNA from 1 species
CCUACGGGGGGCAGCAGUGGGGAAUAUUGCACAAUGGGGGGAACCCUGAUGCAGCGACGCCGCGUGAAGGAAGAAGUAUUUCGGUAUGUAAACUUCUAUCAGCAGGGAAGAAAAUGACGGUACCUGACUAAGAAGCCCCGGCUAACUACGUGCCAGCAGCCGCGGUAAUACGUAGGGGGCAAGCGUUAUCCGGAUUUACUGGGUGUAAAGGGAGCGUAGACGGCGGUGCAAGCCAGAUGUGAAAGCCCGGGGCUCAACCCCGGGACUGCAUUUGGAACUGUGCUGCUAGAGUGUCGGUGAGGCAG